AAGAGUGGAAAAACUCCCUUGACGGUACUUAAUGAAUAAGCCCUGGCUAAUUAUGUGCCAGCAGCCGCGGUAAUACAUAAGGGGCGAGCGUUAUCCGGAAUUAUUGGGCGUAAAGGGUGCGUAGGCGGUUUAAUAAGUCUAUAGUUUAAUUUCAGCGCUUAACGCUGUUGCGCUAUAGAAACUGUUUUACUAGAGUGAGUUAGAGGCAAGCGGAAUUCCAUGUGUAGCGGUAAAAUGCGUAAAUAUAUGGAGGAACACCAGAGGCGUAGGCGGCUUGCUGGGACUUUACUGACGCUGAGGCACGAAAGCGUGGGGAGCAAACAGGAUUAGAUACCCUGGUAGUCCACGCCGUAAACGAUGAGUACUAAGUGUCGGGUAAAACCGGUACUGAAGUUAACACAUUAAGUACUCCGCCUGAGUAGUACGUACGCAAGUAUGAAACUUAAAGGAAUUGACGGGACUCCGCACAAGCGGUGGAUCAUGUUGUUUAAUUCGAAGAUACACGAAAAACCUUACCAGGUCUUGACAUUUUCUUGCGAAGUUAUAGAAAUAUAAUGGAGGUUAUCAGGAAAACAGGUGGUGCAUGGUUGUCGUCAGCUCGUGUCGUGAGAUGUUAGGUUAAGUCCUAAAACGAGCGCAACCCUUGUCGUUAAUUGCCAGCAUGUAAUGAUGGGGACUUUAACGAGACUGCCAAUGAAAAAUUGGAGGAAGGUGGGGAUUACGUCAAAUCAUCAUGCCCCUUAUGAUCUGGGCUACAAACGUGAUACAAUGGUUGAUACAAAGUAAGUAGCUGAAACGCGAGUUCUUAGCCAAUCUCACAAAAUCAAUCUCAGUUCGGAA
rnacentral:rRNA from 1 species